GAACUCCUGAAGUGUCAAAUUUCAAGCAGCAGAAGUUACUCCAAGGAGAUCUGGAAACUAUUUUUCACCAAAGCAAAUGAUGUUCUGGACGGAGCCCUCGUCAUAUUCUCCAGCGCAGCAGCAAAUAUGUCUCAGCCAAUCAGAGGUGAUGUCGUGUCCCAAGUGCUGGAUGUGGUUGGAGAGCUGAGACUGGAGCGCAUCAGUCCUGACCAAUGGACAGACCUCGCUUUCAUCAGCAUGUUGUUGGGUCAUAUCUGAAGCCGUUUUUUACCAUUUGCGUCACCAUCCCUACUGCUGUGCACCAGCAGCAAAAACCUCAGCUGCCAAACUUACCAGCACAUUCUGUCAGAGGUCCCACUCGUCAAUGAGAUUCAAGGAAGAGACAUGGCAAACUUCUUCAUUCUGCCCUUCCUGAGAAGAAACGCAACAGAUGCGGGCUGUGUGGCGACUGCUAACAACAGUGUUGAGUGGCUGCAGAAGAACUUUGGCCCGUUCUCUCAGUUCGUGUCUCUCACAGAUCUGAUCUCCAUCAACAGACUCUUUGAUCCCUUGGAGACCCUGGACAAUCUCACUCCCAAGCAGGUGGCUGGACUGUUGGUUGA